AAGUCGUAACAAGGUUUCCGUAGGUGAACCUGCGGAAGGAUCAUUAGAGAUUGGCCUCACGGCCGUUUUCAUCCACACACACACACCGUGAACCGUUCCCCGUGCCUCUCGGGGCUUGGGACCAUCCAACCAAACCAUUGUAUAAAGAACGUAAACAUCGUAAACAAACAAA
rnacentral:misc_RNA from 1 species